rfam:Candidatus Thrbacteria bacterium RIFCSPLOWO2_02_FTLL_48_18 rifcsplowo2_02_scaffold_23, whole genome shotgun sequence.
GCGGACGUGGCGGAAUGGUAUACGCGCCAGCUUGAGGUGCUGGUUCUCGCAAGGGAUUGGAGGUUCAAGUCCUCUCGUCCGCA